rnacentral:lncRNA from 1 species
UGUUUCAACAUUUGUUUAGAGAUAUUCAAAGAUUCAAAUUAAUCUAUGAAUGUAGAAAACCAAGAAUUUAGUUUAACUUCCCAACACAUAUUCCAGAUUAGGAGUUUCAAUAAUAGUGUUAUCGGUGGAGUCUUCACUAGGAGUAAUCAGUGUUUGUGGUGGAGAGAGUUUUCUACCAUCAAUGAAGGGCAUAAGGUCAUGGCAAGUAAGAUAAGGAGAAAUCAUGGUUUUCCAAUAAAGAUAAUAUUUUGAAGUUUUUAUACGAUAAGAAAACGCUGGAUUGAGAGGUGAAGGGAGUGGAAAUUAUAUGAGAUGGGAGUGGAGUUUGUGUAGCUGUAGAAGAAGAAGCAGAAGAUUGGAAGGCCAUUUUGGGCAGGUCUGAUACCAAGUUUCAACAAGAUACAAAGAAAU